GACAGAGGGUGCAAACGUUGUUCGGAAUUACUGGGCGUAAAGCGCGUGUAGGCGGCUAAGUAAGUCGGGCGUGAAAUCCCACGGCUCAACCGUGGAAGUGCACUCGAAACUGCAUAGCUAGAGUCCUGGAGAGGAAGGUGGAAUGCUUGGUGUAGAGGUGAAAUUCGUAGAUAUCAAGCGGAACACCGGUGGCGAAGGCGGCCUCUGGACAGUGACUGACGCUGAGACGCGAAAGCGUGGGGAGCAAACAGG
rnacentral:rRNA from 1 species